UGUUCUCUGGUGAUUAUCAAUCCUGGGGUUUCAUAACUUUCAUUAUUCAUCUUCUUCUCUUAACAUCGGAUCUCUCGUUCGAUGCAAAACUAGGAUUCAUUUUGCAUCACUCUUAACGCACCUAGACUAACAAUCAAACCCUAUUUCUUUUACCGAUUUCAAGGUUCUAGCGGACAACCCAUAACCCUUUUCUUCUACCGAUUUCAGAACUUUUCUUCUUCUGUUUAUCAUUCUCGUUACAAUCCCAGAGUAUCAACUUCAUCAGGUUUUGGAAAUCUGGUGAAUCUAUACCGCAAUAUACUGGUGUAGUUUGUGGAAGAAGAUCGAUUCUGGUGUUUCAUCAUAUUGAUUGUUCUAUAUGUUACCUUAUUCAGCCAUUUUUGAGGUAUUUGUUGUUUUUGCUCAAUGUCUCAACAAUUCAGGCCUAGAAGUUCAGAUAGGCUGAAUGGAUUUGUUCACGGUCUUAUGUAUGUAUUUGUUUGUGGAAUUACUCUUGGAUUUUUAUCAAUACGGAGUUGAUUGUCCCCA